rnacentral:rRNA from 1 species
AUUGAACGCUGGCGGCAGGCCUAACACAUGCCAGUCGAGCGAGCGCCGGACGGGUGAGUAAUGUAUGGGGAUCUGCCCGAUAGACGGGGAUAUCUACUGGAAACGGUGGCUACUCCCGCCUAAUACCAGAUGAACCCAUCUGGGAUUAGAUAGUAGGUGGGGUAAAGGCUCACCUAGGCGACGAUCUCUAGCUGGUCUGAGAGGAUGAACAGCCACACUGGGACUGAGACACGGCCCAGACUCCUACGGGAGGGAGCAGUGGGGAAUAUUGCACAAGGGGCGCAGGCCUGGUGCAGCCGUGCCGGGUGUAUGAGGAAGGCCUUAGGGUUGUAGAGUACGUUCAUCGAGGAGGCGUUACCCGCAGAAGAAGCACCGGCUAACGCCGUGCCAGCAGCCGCGGUAAUAC